rnacentral:rRNA from 1 species
UAACGGCGAGUGAAGCGGCAACAGCUCAAAUUUGAAAUCUGGCGUCAGCCCGAGUUGUAAUUUGUAGAGGAUGCUUCGGGGCCGCGGCCGGUCUAAGUUCCUUGGAACAGGACGUCAGAGAGGGUGAGAAUCCCGUAUGUGACCGGCUAGCACCCCACACGUAGCUCCUUCGACGAGUCGAGUUGUUUGGGAAUGCAGCUCUAAAUGGGAGGUAAAUUUCUUCUAAAGCUAAAUACCGGCCAGAGACCGAUAGCGCACAAGUAGAGUGAUCGAAAGAUGAAAAGCACUUUGGAAAGAGAGUUAAACAGCACGUGAAAUUGUUGAAAGGGAAGCGCAUGCACCCAGACUUGUCGGCGGCGUUCCGCCGGUCUUCUGACCGGUCCACUCGCCGUCGGCAGGCCAGCAUCGUUUGGGGCCGCCGGACAAAGGCGUCGGGAAUGUGGCUCCUCGGAGUGUUAUAGCCCGACGCACAAUACGGCGCGCCGCGAGCGAGGUCCGCGCUUCGGCUAGGAUGCUGGCGUAAUGGGGGCAUGCGGCCCGUCUUGAAACACGGACCAAGGAGUCUACCAUCUAUGCGAGUGUUCGGGUGUCAAACCCCUACGCGCAAUGAAAGUGAACGGAGGUGGGAACGCAAGUGCACCAUCGACCGAUCCUGAUGUCUUCGGAUGGAUUUGAGUAAGAGCAUAGCUGGUGGGACCCGAAAGAUGGUGAUCUUUACUUGAAUAGGGUGAAGCCAGAGGAAACUCUGGUGGAGGCUCGCAGCGGUUCUGACGUGCAAAUCGAUCGUCAAAUUUGGGUAAAGGGGCGAAAGACUAAUCGAACCAU